AGUACAGUGUUCUGCCCUGACACAGCCAAGGCCAAGGGCAGUGCAGGCACAGCCACCGUGACUCUCUGCUGGGAGGUUAACAGCUCCAUCAGUUCAGGGACUGCCUGACCCAGCCUGACCAAAUUAGAGCAAGAGAAAGAAUUGUGCCAUGAAAAAUGGAAAACUCCUGAGAAGCUGUUCCAGCGUCAGGAGAGCAGCAGACAAGCUGGACUGGGGAAGAUUCUUCCUGCAAGACCUGCAGAGUGUAUGACACAUAACCAGCACCCAAGAAAUGUCUACCGAGGAAUUAAUGAAUGAGGGUCCCAUACUUCCUAGCCAUGCUGUUGGCAGGGAUUAACAUCAUUGCAAUUCUCUGGGUAGACCUUGGGAGGUUUAAACCAACCAGUGACCCCUAUCAUCCUAGCUCCAGAGAUUGGCUUAGGGAUAGUCACCCAAUGCAGGCCAAUGCAAGGUGACUUUGCCAGGGGCUUCUGGGAAAGAAGUUUCCUUUCUCUGAGGAAAUGUGAAUGAGGACAUCCAUAACUCAGGUUGUGUCUGGCAGCCAUCUUGUGAUCAUCUGGCAAGACAGCCCAAGAAUAAAGCCGUCACCAUGGAGACUAAGAAGAGACAGAAAGACACUGGGUCUUCAUUGUCUCGUCCAGCUGUUCAUGAGGCCUUAUCUGAAGCCCACGUGACCUCCGGACUACUCACUUACAUGAGAGAAUAAAGCUCUUUUUUGUUUAGACCAAAUAAAUACAUAAUACAAUUACAUAAUCCCUUGAUUCCUUUUUAUGACUGAGCUCAGAGACUAUAUUUUGUCAUUUUAAAUCACCUUUGUCUUACAGUUUAUUUAACUGAAACAAAUAAACAAACCAAAACACGCCAGUUUUUCACUCCUCUGUCAAAGCCUUUCCAAGAUCACUAAGCUUGUGAUGUCCUGGGUGAAUGAAGAAGUAACAGUGUUUUCAACAACAUAGAAGCUUAUUUCUCUCUCAUAUAAAAGAAGGCUGGAGUCUGGCUGGUAUGGGAGAUACAGCAUCAUCAAAGUUUUAUCUUUUCGUCCUGCCAUCCUUAGAAUAUGGCUUUCAUCUUCAAGAUCACUUCCUAAGCUAUGAGGAUGCAAAGGUAUAAGAAUGACAUAGCGGACUUUGGGGACUCGGUGUGGGGAGAAGUUGGGAGGGGUGAGGGAUAAGAGACUACAUAUUGGGUACAGUGUACACUGCUCUAAAAUCUCAGAAAUCACCACCAAAGAACCUAUCCGUGGAAUCAAAAACCACCUAUACCCCCAAAACCACUGAAAUAAAACUAAAAAUUAAUUAA
rnacentral:lncRNA from 1 species